AUGACAACACAAUGCAAAGAAGACGACAGGAAACUUCUGCUCUUUGUAUCACUGUGGUACACAUUCGGCAGCGGCACCAGACUGGAUGUUGGCAGUAUCAGUCGUCCUAAAGUGAGCGUCCUGCCGCCGUCCAGUGAAGAGAUUUCCACAAAGCAAACAGCAACACUGAUGUGUGUGGCCAACAAGGGCUUCCCCUCAGACUGGAGUCUGAACUGGAAGGUGAACGGGAUCAGCAGCAGGUCUCAGUACAGCAGUGUUGCUCUCUUGGAGAAGGACGGUCUGUACAGCUGGAGCAGCAGUCUGACUCUCUCUGAGCAGGAGUGGAGCUCAGUGAUCUCAGUCAGCUGUGAGCUCACACAGAAAGACCAGCGUGAUAAAGUCACUGGAGAAUUGAGGAGAGAUCAGUGUUCACAGUAG